rnacentral:lncRNA from 1 species
CUCACUUUCAAACCGAGCCAUAUCGAGCGAGAUUUUUCCGAGCUAAAUCCGAGCUAACUUCAAGCCGCAAGCUUUUUGGACAAAACUAAUUCUACCAUCUCUCAAAAUCGGAUGAACAAACAAAAGUUAAAAGAGAUAAAACGAAUACCACAAAGUGAAGACAAACAAAUAGAGAAUAAAUGUGAAUUAAUUGUACAGGUAAACAAUUAGGUUAUUAAAAAAAUAUUUUCCUAUAUAAAUGAAUCGAACUAGAAGUCACCGUGUGUACUGGACUAGUCUCCCAUCAUUACUAGGUGUCGCCGAAACUAAUGGGAGAAUACAGGAAUUAAACCAGGUCACUUAGAACAUCAGGUCUCUCAUUUACCACUCUACCACUAACUCAUUAGCAGUUAAAAACUAACUUAUAAUUUGAACACACCAUUUAGAGAAACUGAAGAAAUUUGUUAAUACAAACUUCUGAGUCAUCAAAUACCUUCUAUUUCUGUCAAAAAGUACAUUAUUUCAAUAUUUUAAGCAAAUCACACUCAAAAAGAUUUUGAGUUUGUUUUAAUUUCAUUGCAAGGUAUGUGACUUUUCCAACAUCGGUUGUAUAAACAACUAGUCUUUUGGGUUGAGUUCUCUUGUUUGAUAUGUAACAUUGUUAUCAGAGUGAGACUCGGAGUGGUGGCCUAGAAAGAGCCAGACGUGACCAACGUGGUCGGGACCAACAAGUUUCAGAGUGGUGGCCUGGAAAGAACCAGCCGUGCCCAACGAGGACGUUGGCCCUUAAAGAUAGUCGAUUGUUAUGAAAUAAAACCAUUACAAAGUAUGAGACUUAUCUCGCAUCGAUUGUAUGGACAACCGAUAUAGGCUUUAUAUUAUUUUCUUAGAAGCAUUUACACCAAGAUAUUGUUAAAAUAAUAAUCCUAUAUUACUUAAAUGUUAAAACUAUUUCUCCUUGUCAAGCCACUUACGAGCAUUCAUAUUCAACCUUCCCAAUUAUUUAAGAGUUUAUAUUUUAUGAAAAGCGGUUAUAGAUGAUUGUAAGUGGUUGUGAGUAAAGAAAAUAACUGUUUAUCUGUAAAUUGAAGAAGACAAUGUUUAUGUUUUAUAUUUUUUUAAAAUAAGUAGAAAGUGGUUAUUAGUGGAAUGGAGAAUAAAACGAUAAAAAUAUUAAAAAGUAUUAUUUAAUUGAAAAAGAAAAGAAAAAAAUAGUGAUUUUUAGUUUAAUACUAGAGUAAAAAAAGGAGAUGUUAGAUCUGAAUGCUCUAACAAGCCACAUUCACAAUAAUCCUAUAUUACUUAACCCGAACAACUUUAAUAAAUACUUAACCUAAAAUGCUUAAACAGCAUUAUUAUGUUCAUCAAAAUAACAAAGGUCCCGAUGAAUACAGAUUUAAUUAACCUUUAACUUAAGAUGGAAAACAGCUCAUGGACUGUUUAUUCGUACGACAGAAAAGCCUUUAGUUCAAAUGUAUAAGACAAUGGAAAAUGUAAAAAUAUAAAAGAGUAGACUAGCAUUAAUUUUAUAUAUUGGUAUUGCAAUUAUGUAUCUGAUCUACCACAUCUGUGCACAUUUCCCCGAUGAUGAUAAAUCCAGGAGCACCUGCAAAAGGACCAAAACAAGAGAAAGAACAAGUAGAAAAAUGGUAUUUGACUUGCUAGAAACACCAAAAAUGGAAAUAUGACCAAUCAGAUCUAUGCAAAAAUCUAACAACAUGAACUGAAAAUGACAUCUUGUAAAAUCAGAACCAAAUGUUUCAACAAAUGGUGUAGAGCUCCCUUCAAUCCAAAACAGGAUCAAGAGGAGGGUAAUAAAGCUCCUGGUGUAUGCAAGCCACAAAGUCUAUACAAACACAUAGAUAGGACUUUGAGGGAUCCAUAAACCAGCAGCUCUAUCUUCCCACUCGGAUCUUCUAUUGGACUUCAAGGAGCUCUACUUCAUCAUAAAAACACAAAUAUACCCACUUACAUGGAUGACGUAAGCCCUAUAUCCACCCGCUAGUUUUUCCAAACAAACCUGUGAAUAAGAUUUGUCUUAGAAAAAACCGAACAGGAGGAACCUUAAUGUUGCUGAAAACCCUAGAGAGCAAAACUGGAGGAGUGAGAAAGUAUUAGGUAUGGACUAUGGAGUGAGAUGGGUGGAUAGUAUAUAAAAAGAAUUUAUGGAUGGUGAAGACUGAAGACUGACUUUUACUUUUUCUAACAGGAGGCGAUAAAUUAUUUGCAAGAAGAAGCCGAAUCCUCUACGUCGCGUACCAGACAACCGCCUCUUGAACGGAAUCGGUUAGGUGCUCAUGAACGUCUAAUGCAAGAUUAUUUUUGUGAAAAUCAGUUGU